GAACGAGAACAUUUCAAAAUAAGAGUCCACAAAACCAAAGACAGGGGAACAUAGACUGGGAUCCUGACAAUUGGGGUAAUAUGAUCAUAUUUUAUUGACCUGGCCGUCUGGGGUCGAGAUUAUUUUCAAGAAAAGCUCCUCUGUUUUUCCCGGUCCUGAGAUCACUGUCUUCCUACUGGGACUUUGACUGAAACAGAAUACGCAGACAUGGUCUUCCAGGACCACUGGCCUCUUUCCAGAUAUCUCGAGUGUCACGGGGGACUUGAGACAUUGGCCCCUAAUAAUAGGCCAGUAAGAACACCUCUCUACUCUGGAGAUAUGGAGCAAGUUUCAUUCUGUCCUCUCCUCCACUGGAAGAUUGGAUCGUGGACCACUAAAGGGUUCUUUCAGCAGCUCAGGAUAGACAUGAGAUUCUCUGUGACAAUGGAGGUUGUAUGCCACAUGGAAUUGAAGAUGUUUGACUUGUUUUAAGUUAUAGUUUAAAGUAGUGUGCCACUGAAGUCAUGCAUUACAGUGAUUUUACCAUAGUAAAUGGUCUUCUUAGACACAACACAAACAUAUUUUACAAAUUAAUACAUGAAGACCAUACUUCAGUAGCAAUAGUUUGAUAAAAAACAAUAUUUAAUCAAAAGCCAUAAUUUAUUAAUUAUAAUUAUAUCAUAUAUAUAUAUGGUGUGUGUGUGUGUGUGUGUGUGUGUGUGUGUGUGUGUGUGUAUAAAACGGUAUAAGAGUUUUUAUAUGCUAAAGCAAUUACACAGCAUUACACAGAUUUUACCAUGGUAAAUGAUCUUCUGAGGCACAACAUGUAGCUGUUUUACAACUUCAUCAUUGUAAAAUUUAUGUAGUUCAGCAUGUGUACUUCAUAAAAGAAACCAAUAUUUAAUC